GAGGAACCGUUCUGUUCUCAACAUAGAAAUCAACAAAGUAUAUAUGAGAACCAUACUCAGAGUCAGAUGUAGAAGGAGAAUCAUAAUCAUAGACACAUGCAGAAGAAGUAGUGUUCACAUAGCCAAAAUAGGUAGACAUGGGAAAAAAGGGGGAAAAGAAGAAUGCAAUGAAAAUAUGCAACUAAAGCUACCUAAAUGCAAACACACAAUGACGAACACACAAAACAGAACAUCACACUCACAACACAAGACAAGACAACGCACACUAACACAACAAAAGACCUAAAACCGAACCGUUGGUCCCCGGCAACGGCGCCAAAAUUUUGAUGGGUGUCACACCCCAUGCAAAAUUUAAUUAGCAUAAAAGAAUGCAGUAUAGACUAGGAAGUGACUC
rnacentral:lncRNA from 1 species